UACGGUGGGGGCAAGCGUUGUUCGGAAUUACUGGGCGUAAAGGGUGCGUAGGCGGGUCUUUAAGUCAGGGGUGAAAUCCUGGAGCUCAACUCCAGAACUGCCUUUGAUACUGAAGAUCUUGAGUCCGGGAGAGGUGAGUGGAACUGCGAGUGUAGAGGUGAAAUUCGUAGAUAUUCGCAAGAACACCAGUGGCGAAGGCGGCUCACUGGCCCGGUACUGACGCUGAGGCACGAAAGCGUGGGGAGCAAACAGG
rnacentral:rRNA from 1 species